rnacentral:pre_miRNA from 4 species
UCUUAAGGAGGAACAAAGAAAGUAGUUUCUGAGAUGGAAUCUACUCCUGGUGAAAGUGCUAUGAA